AUUAGUUUCUAGUAAACUAUAAUCUUCAAUAAUUCAGGGAAAAAAAGAAAAAAUUGAAUCAGAGAUAGUGAUUUUUAACAAGACCAUUUAGUAAAGAAAAAAACAUAGAUAUGCACGAAAUUAAUUCAAAACAAUAAUUUCAAACAUAUCUGGAAUCUUGAAAAGUCCAAUAAAAAAAGAAUAUAAAUGGUAACAAUAUAAAAUGAUAAGAAAACGAAUUACUUAUAGUUGUUACUAACCAAUUUCAUAUUCAAAAUUUUAAUGAUUUAUAAUCACUAAAUUACUUUUAAUUAACGAUGUACGAUAUUCUUUUUGUAACUUUAUGUUCCGAAUUUGUUAUCAUUGGUGAAAAUAAACCACAACAAAUUUACACAAACUAAUAUGGCACUUCCUUUAUUAUUUAUUGUGCCCGCCCCACAUUAUUGAGUAAUUUGCAUGUGGUGCAUGCACAACAGUUGCCGCCUAAAUAUUGAAGUUACCAUUUAAUGGAGAAUAAAGAAAUAUUGAGGUGAAUAAAUGAAUGUUAAUUGAACUUUCUUCUUCUACAGCAAAAAAGAAGAAAUGGGUGAGUGACUGAAUUAGUUAUAAUAUAUUACUGAGAGUGGUAUCAAUGGUGUAGAAGAAAAGGAAAAGAGUAACCUUUUAUUCAAGAAAAACUAGUCUAAAUUGAUUUGAAUAUUGCAGAAUUUCUGAAUAGCUUCCGAAAAUCCGUCAUCAUCAUUAGAUGAAACUAUAUGCUGGGCGGCACCUUUGGCCAUAUUACAAGCAUUAGCAACAGCAACAGAAAUUCCUGAGAGUUUAAGCAACUCAACAUCAUUUUCGGCAUCUCCAAUAGCUAGACAAUUUUCAGGAUGUAUAUUAAGUGUUUUGAGUAAAUGUUCUGCAGCAUUUCCCUUUGAACAAUCUAUAUGUAAUAUCUCCAGUAUUAGAGGAUGAGAAAAGAGGACUCUUGCUGGUUUAUCUUUAAGAAAAGCAUGUACAAUAUCUUUAAUUUCUUCAAGUUUUUCCCUAGAUUCACCAAUAAUAAACUUUAAAGAUUGAUUCUUAUUUUUUUUAAUGACAUCAACAACACUUUCAACUUUUACUGAAAACUCUCUACUUAGACCUUCAACAUAUCUUAAAUGACUACCUCUAACAUUGUGUACAAAUUCAUUCAGUAAAUAAACGCUAUAUGCAACUCCUCUAUGUGUUUCACCUUUAAGUUUGGCUUCUUCAUAACCUUCAUCUUCAGGUUGCCAUUCAAUUUUUAUUGAAUCUAAUAAGUUACAGAGUUCUAUCAUACAUUCAUCAGAAAUAGUCCAAGUUUUCAUAAUAUCAUCAAUUCCAUUUGGACCAAUCAAAACUGCUCCAUUAAAAAAUAUUCCUGGGAAUCCAUGAUGUUUGGCAAUAUCCAUAAUAUCUUCUGUGAACAUUCUUAGAAAACCCACUUUGGAGCGUCCUGUUGCUGGUACUAACAAAAUAUGAGAGUCCAUUAGGGCUGAAAUAGUUUUUGCAUUUUUUAAUGAAAGUUGAUUCUCAUUAUUUGCUAGUGUACCAUCUACAUCUGUAAACACACAUAAAAUAUUAGAUUCCAUAAUUAUCUGCUUGUAAAGCACUUCCUAUAUUUAUUGUAAUGAAAGGAAAAAAAGGAUUGAAUAUAGUAUUUAUUUUGUUUCAAAUUUUGAUUUUUUUUUGAAAAAU
rnacentral:antisense_RNA from 1 species